CACACACUGUAGUGUCGCUCCAGGCUCAUGAAGUCGGUGUUGUAUAUGCCCUCCAGUCCGGAGACUGGAUACCACGGAUUCAGCUCCAACGCUCAACCCGAAGAACACCAAUACCUCGUCUCGUGCCUGGGCGAGGUUUUCGACCAGUGACAUUGAAGGCCCAACCUCCUGCGCGUUUUUACCAUCACAAAUACACAUAGAAAAUACGUUCCAGCACUACUCACUACAUGGCAAACAGGAUUCGCUAAGAGGUUAGCCGUGGUGCGCCUUUUCUGGCACACCAGCUCUUUGGCACGACUAUCGAUUACCCGGCUGUACUACGAUCUUUGGCCCUGUUGUGAUAUGGUGGCGAGUAUUUGCGGUCGGGGAGUUGGUGUCGGACUCGCUACGAGGCGCUAGGAUGUGCUUGAGGGGACGAGGAGAAAAACACGCCGGCUCGGCCAGCAACGGCGCGGCCGGUUUACCAUGCAGGACGGUCGCAAGUUUGUGGUGCGCCUGCCUGAUGCCAACUCCGGGAGCUGCUCGUCGCAUUGCUUUGGUUCCUGUUUUCUCGGACAGAUCCAUUCCUCGAGACCGCCUCGAACAACGCUCUCCAUCGAAGGUGUAAGUGGUUUUGGUGCCUUCGUUUCGUGGAACUAUUUUAUUUGUAGCGACUGUCACUUGUUGGUUCGUUGGUUGCUCUAAUGUAUGUGUUUUUGAAGUAAGAGCAGCCGCCAAGGAGUGUGAUCACAUGGAGACCAUCAGUCACUACUUCCUUUAAGGAAAUACGCAUCCCCAAAAUAUGUAGUAACUGUAAGGUAUUCAAGAUAUUAGCUCAUAGUCUAGUUCUGAUUUUCUGCAUACCAAGCUUACACAAUUGGCAGUUACAUUGCAGACCUAUGCAACGAAAUUAAAGUACACAAACCUAGUUUUGUUGUGAAGUUGUGCAUUUGAAUAACCUGAUAUUAUCUUGAAAUUAUUUCCAUUUCAUCUUUGUACACACUGUCGGCCUUAA